rnacentral:tRNA from 1 species
GGAUGUGUAGCUCAGUUGGUUAGAGUAUCUCCUUGACAUGGAGGGGGUCGUUGGUUCGAGUCCAAUCACAUCCACCA